rnacentral:lncRNA from 1 species
GUGAAUUAAGUUUACUAACAUGUAGAGCUCAUUAUUACUAAUCCAACGCAAUUUGAAUGGUCAAAAACGGAGUUAAAACAAAUAUUUUAUGAGCGAAAUACUGUGAAUGGCAAACUUGUAAUUAUCUAAAAGCGUAUUUUUUUCUUAAGCCGGCAGAGAAUACGUUUUCCAAAUUUGGAAAGCGUAAACCUGCUCGGGCGCCAGGGACUGCGGGUUUAUUUCUAAAUAACUCCGGGGACUCUUUAGCAAAAGUGGCGGCCGAAACGGUAACUUCUGUUCUCGGACGCAGGAUCACGAUCCGACGGUGGGGAUUCAAUCUGGGCGCUGAACUGGCCGACGGUGGCCGGAACAGUGGCACCCGCGGCGACGCCAUGGCCAGGACAUUGCCGGAGCUCGGGAAAUCACGCUACGGUGCGUCAAACUCAAAACCGCGACCAUGGAAACGGAAAGGAGAUCGAUGCGAGCUCACCUAGGGCGAAACCGAGCGUAGGAAGGACGCGGACACGGCUGACGUCGAAGAAUGGCGGCCGGACCCCCUUCCUGCAAGUUCGACGCCGGUUAGGGAGUCGCUGGAAACACUAGAAGCUUUAGGGAACGGACCUGCGGCUUCGCAAGGGCUUCUCCAACAUCGGCAACUACUCACCCGAGCACAAACGCGACGAACACGAAAUUCGCUGAGGCGGAUUGACCCCGGGUCCGCCGAGAUCCGAAAAUCGGUGAUGGCAAGGGCUAGGGUGGCUCCAUGAGCGCGUAGAUUGGAAAGGAGGGUCGAGAAGGAGAUCACGAGGCUUAAAAAGGCUCGGCUUUGGCGGAUUUGGCAGAAAAUCCCGUGCGAAUCGGGAUUUAGCUCCCGAUCGGGAGUCCUGCACGGCUCCGACUAAAGGUUGAAGAAGACCGGCUGACAGGUGGGGUCACAGUGUCAGAGAGAAUAAAGAAUAGGGCCCAGUUGACAGAGGGGAGGUGCGGCUUGGAUGGCCGAGUGGGCCGCUGCGAUGCAAUGGGCCGGGGUGCGAUCGGAGCUGGGCGUUGGGCCUCGCGAAGAAAGGAAAAAGGGGGAGGGAAGCUGGGCCGCGCGCGCUGGUUAGGGAGUAGGCCGGAAGGGGGAGGAAAGGAGGAGUGGGCCUUCGGGCCAGAAUCAGGUGGGGAGAGUUUUGGUUUGUUUUUUUUUUUUCCUUUUUCUUUUAUUCCAAAGCCAUUUGAAACUCUAUUUGAAUUUUGAGUUCAAAAACACUCAGCACAGUAAACAAAAUGCAGAAGCAUGAGUGCACAAAAUUGUCGCUACACUCUAUGAUAGAUUUUAUUUUGAUAAAAAUAUUAUUUCUCUAUUUUUCAUGAACACAAAAAUACAAAACUAAAUCAUUUUCCACCUAUUUCAAAAGUUUUAAAAUUUUGGGUGUUACAAAUCUACCCCCCUUAAAAUGAAUCUCGUCCUCGAGAUUCGAAAGAGGCACGGGUUCCAAAAAGAGAGAUAGGAAAAAGAUCUUGAUCAUUAUUUCAACUUGACAACUUGUAUUCCAAAUGCAAGCACUUAUGUUUCGAGAUUACAACUUGUGAACAAAACUUCCAUAAGAUGUCUAUUAUUCGUAAUUGCUCACUGUCCAUCUUGACUACCAACUUUUUGACUUAUACAACUCAAAGGCAUGAUAACUUAGCAUGGGUAUGCCUCCUCAGGUAGGAGUGGACCACCUUGAUACUCAAUUCUUUUCCCUGAUGGUGCGGUUAAGAAAAUUUUCCACUGGGUAGCAUAGAUCACUGCCUUGUGUGCACAUAACCAUCCAUUGCCAAGAACCAAAGGAAUAUUGAGUGACUCUAGCACAAUGAGGUUUACAGUGAAGUUUUCCUUCUUUAUGACAAGAUUGAUAUUUGAGCAAACCUGAUCUGCCUGUAUUUCUUCCAUUGGGGUUUGAACUAACAAAGGCUUUCUUGUCGGACACUUCACCCGUUCGAUUGUCUUUACCAAGUCAGCGGAAAUAAAAGAAUGCGAAGCACUUCGGUCAAACAGAGCAAAAACUAGUACUGAGUCCACUUGAAUAUAGCCUCCCACCACUUUGGUGGCUCCUUGAAUGUUAUGCCUAUCCACAUUGUUCAGUCUUCCAUUGAUAUAAUUUGGCUGUACUUUAUUUCCAGGAGCGGGCUUCUUACGAGCUUUCCUUUUACGCUUCCGUCGUUGUGGAUUUUGAUUUGAUUCGUUGUCAACUUGCUCUUCCCUAUUAUUAUUUUGAUAACACUCAGCUUUGUCAUACUCAUAGCAUCUUUCUUCAAAAUCAAGAUGAUCAUAUUCUUCCCACCUAUCCAUGAGAGGUGUCAUAUUGUGCUCCGGAUUCAUGGGACACUACACUCCCUGUCAUCAAGUGACCAACGUCAGUAACACGGCAAGGAUAGAUGAUCAUAACCAUAGAAUAUCUUAGAAGACAAUUAUCACUCCAAGCUAGUCUUAAAAUGCAUCACUCGUGAUAUCAAGGUACUACCCCUCUUAAAAUGAGAUUGAUUGGGGAACACUAGGGACUACUUCUCCUAUCCUUUUUAGACGCUACACAUCAUAUAGUCUUUUAAAAUUCGCUGUACUGAGUCUCUUGUUCCAACAUUAUCCAAUUCUUCUCCAUGUAACCCCUUUAUUUAGGCUACCCCCCUUAAUAAAGGUCAUCUAGGGGACACAAGAAAGGUAGCUAGCAUGUUUUCCAGACAAGUUAACUAACAUUGAGAACUUAUGACAUCCCAAAGAGCUUCUGUGCAAGAGAACAAACAUGUAUCCUGAAAUUUUUCCGCGAUAUGAAAAACACCAGCAUAGAAAAACAGGUAUAACUCCCAUUCAGUUAAUCCAAUAGAGUUGUAGCUUAUACCGUUAGAAAGAUUAUGAAAUUCCCUACAACUUUCCUGUAGAAGACGUCCUUAGGUUCUGUCUUUAAGCUCAGGUAAAACAGCCAAACAUAAUAUCCUUCCUGAUAAUAUCUCAGCAAAGAUGCAGUAAAUUCCAGAAAUUAUACCUCGAGCUACGUAACUCAUAUGGAGAUGAUCUUUAUAUUGUUGAAAAGCUUAUGAAAUCCUUUACAACUUUUGUAUACAACUUUUCCCCAGAUUCUGUCUUUAAGCUUGGCUGAGAAUAGGAAUUGCCAGAUCUAUCCAGAUUUUGAAACAGAACAGAAACAUCCAAUUGUAAAUAUCAUAUCUCAGGUUCUACUUAUCCAAAUAAGUUCCAGCUUAUACCGUUGGAAAGAAUAGAAAAUUGUCUACAACUUUUCUAUAGAAUACUCUUCCAAAUUCUAUAGUUAUAUAUGUCUAAAACAGUAAGCAACCGAAACUGGUCCAGGUUCUUGACAGCACAGUUGUAUCAUGUUGUGAUUUUUGUAACUUCCAAACCAUAACAGCCAUGAGGGUGAUUCUUGUGGUCAGAGAAAGAUCUUGGAGUCUAGUUGUUUCCAGAAAAAUUUAGUAAACUUUGCACGACCAGAUCUUGAUAUACACUAUGAUUAUUGCAGACUGCUCCAGAAAUCAGCAAAAGACAGAAACAGGAUAUAACCAAACCCAACUACUUAUGUCAUUACUCCGUAUGCCUUAGUUCUAUAAACUAAAUGAAAUUGUGAAGAACUUCACAAAAUCAUUACACUCAUUACAAAGAUCCAAAUCAAACAUAAACAUAAUAACAAGCAAUUAAGCAUUAAAGGUUCACAAGGCACACAAACUCAACUUUCGCUACUAGCGUUUUUAUUACACCAGGGGACACGGACACCUAUAUCUUAGACUUAGUGUGGUUAUCUUCACGAUGCAUCUGUUGCUUCUUUUGUGGACAAGAGCUUAUAUAAUGUCCUUCUUGUUGGCAGUGAUAACACCUUCUCUUAGCUGGUUCCUCUGUGAUGUUAUUUUCCACUGAAGUGUUGUUCGGUGUGUUAUCAACUUGCAUACUCUGAUGGUUUAUCUUUGCCUGGUUAGAUUUCUUUCUACAUUGCUUGAUCCUCCGAGGUUGAAACUCUCUAUAAGUAAUUGUCCACCCAUCUAUGCAUACCUCAUGAGCAGUGGGAUUAGCUUGGGGAAUUUGUUCAUCUCCAAGGUUUGAGUUUUCCUGACGAGAAUUUGAAGCUACAUGUGACAUCUUGGGAUUUGGGUGUUGAUCACUUCCCAAUCUCGGCUCUAGUGCUUUUGCCUUCCUCUUCUUAUCCUCAUUAGUCACACAGGUUGGUUUUGUCUUAACUUCCUUCUUAGAUGACAUAUUCCGAAGACAAGGAAGACCAUAAUGCUCACAACAGUGGCAUUGAUUCUGAUAUCCUGAUGUAUUACUCCCAACGCUUCCAUGAUUUCUCAUAUUUUUCCAAGCUUCUGCUACUUGUCUCCUCACGGGUCCUGAGAUACGUUGUUGAGAGUUCUUAUUCUGAGUUAUUCCUUCCACUACUUGUGUUUGCAUGGCUAGAAGCUUCUCCAUGUCGAAUGCUUUUACGGUUGGAAAAUCUGGUUGCUUUCGUUCCUUCUUGUCAAAGGUCUCCUCGUUAUGAUCCAUCUAAAGAGACAAAGAGAGAGGAUUUAGAAUAGAGACAAGAUUUUAUAAAAGAACUAGGCAAGAGGUAAGCAUAACUUUUAGCAACUAUCAAGGUCAAGGCGAAAAGCAAGAAGUAAGCAAAGAUGGAAGCAUGCCAAAACGUCCAGUUCUAACUAGGCUUGCGUCCUACAGUCAGCAUUGCUUUGAUACCACUUUGUAAUACCCGAUUUUAAGGACAAAACCAGAUAUACACUAUAUAUGAGUUUUAGAAGUCAAUUCUCAUAUAUAGCUACAAAUAAGGGGUAAUAUCAAAAGACAAUGCAUAAAUAUAUAACGUACUUAGUAUAAAAGAGAUAACCUUUGAUAACAAACAGCGGAUAGACAACUCCAAACUUCGGGUAUUAACUUCUCUCUACAGGAUCCAACUGACUGGUUGAUCACAAGCCUAAACUUCUCCUGAGGUUUGGGGAAAUAGCAAGAGUGAGUCCAUGUCGAACUCCACAAGUAUAGCAACUAGAUUGUAUAGCUCCCACAAGCUUAUGAUCAAUGUGACAUAAAUUAUGUAAAGCAUUAAACAAUAAAUAAUGAGCAUAUUUAACACAUAGGAAUCAUUAUCGUCGCAGCAAGAAUCCCCAAGGCCGCUCCUGACCGUGAGCUCGGCUAGUAUACUAGUUUUUAACCCUCUGCAGAGGUUGCACAUCUUUACCCAUGAGUCAUGAUUUACCCUUUCGCCCGAGGUAGCUAAUCUCUUAACCCCCUUCCUAGGGAGGUCGGCAGGGAUCACUAUGAAGUCUUUCAAAGGUUCGUCUAACAAGUUAGGGCCGCUUGGUUUCAUUAGUCAGUCCGUGUGAUUCACCCGCAGGAAUCCACGGUCUGCUAUUCCCCAAUUGCGCCACAACGGGUAACCGCUAACGAGCUAGAAAAGUUACUCAUACUUAACUAAAGCCAGAGCCAUUAUAGCCCUCAUGGUUGCACUGUUGUCCCGGUUAUCACUUACAGAUAAAUCAUCAAGUUGCUAAAAAGUCAUUUUUAUCGUUUAUUACUUAACAUUAAUCUAGCCACAGGAUCAUGGUCACAGAAAUAAAACCUAAAUGCUAUACUUGCCUUAAUCCAAAUGCUCUUGCUUAUCCUUUUGGUUCUGCUGGUCUCACUUGUUGCCAAAGCUUUGAUCUUGAUCACCGAAACUGCUCUCCGUCUAAACUCGAUCAUCGAUCACACAAACAAUCGGAGAAAACAUACACGAAGCAAACAAGGCUAUAAUUAGAACAGUACACCAAGCAUAUAAAAACAGUAUGAAAAGUUUAUAAAAUAAUUCUACGCAUCGCUAUGAUCUCACAAACGUAAAGAUCACGAAAAUCGGAGCUAAAACGGAGGAGAUAUGAUUUUUCUAAGAUUUUAUAUAGAAAAGUAAUUAAUUAAUUAAAGUCACAAAAUUGCAAAGUUUCAAACUGGUGAAUUAAGUUUACUAACAUGUAGAGCUCAUUAUUACUAAUCCAACGCAAUUUGAAUGGUCAAAAACGGAGUUAAAACAAAUAUUUUAUGAGCGAAAUACUGUGAAUGGCAAACUUGUAAUUAUCUAAAAGCGUAUUUUUUUCUUAAGCCGGCAGAGAAUACGUUUUCCAAAUUUGGAAAGCGUAAACCUGCUCGGGCGCCAGGGACUGCGGGUUUAUUUCUAAAUAACUCCGGGGACUCUUUAGCAAAAGUGGCGGCCGAAACGGUAACUUCUGUUCUCGGACGCAGGAUCACGAUCCGACGGUGGGGAUUCAAUCUGGGCGCUGAACUGGCCGACGGUGGCCGGAACAGUGGCACCCGCGGCGACGCCAUGGCCAGGACAUUGCCGGAGCUCGGGAAAUCACGCUACGGUGCGUCAAACUCAAAACCGCGACCAUGGAAACGGAAAGGAGAUCGAUGCGAGCUCACCUAGGGCGAAACCGAGCGUAGGAAGGACGCGGACACGGCUGACGUCGAAGAAUGGCGGCCGGACCCCCUUCCUGCAAGUUCGACGCCGGUUAGGGAGUCGCUGGAAACACUAGAAGCUUUAGGGAACGGACCUGCGGCUUCGCAAGGGCUUCUCCAACAUCGGCAACUACUCACCCGAGCACAAACGCGACGAACACGAAAUUCGCUGAGGCGGAUUGACCCCGGGUCCGCCGAGAUCCGAAAAUCGGUGAUGGCAAGGGCUAGGGUGGCUCCAUGAGCGCGUAGAUUGGAAAGGAGGGUCGAGAAGGAGAUCACGAGGCUUAAAAAGGCUCGGCUUUGGCGGAUUUGGCAGAAAAUCCCGUGCGAAUCGGGAUUUAGCUCCCGAUCGGGAGUCCUGCACGGCUCCGACUAAAGGUUGAAGAAGACCGGCUGACAGGUGGGGUCACAGUGUCAGAGAGAAUAAAGAAUAGGGCCCAGUUGACAGAGGGGAGGUGCGGCUUGGAUGGCCGAGUGGGCCGCUGCGAUGCAAUGGGCCGGGGUGCGAUCGGAGCUGGGCGUUGGGCCUCGCGAAGAAAGGAAAAAGGGGGAGGGAAGCUGGGCCGCGCGCGCUGGUUAGGGAGUAGGCCGGAAGGGGGAGGAAAGGAGGAGUGGGCCUUCGGGCCAGAAUCAGGUGGGGAGAGUUUUGGUUUGUUUUUUUUUUUUUUUUUUUCCUUUUUCUUUUAUUCCAAAGCCAUUUGAAACUCUAUUUGAAUUUUGAGUUCAAAAACACUCAGCACAGUAAACAAAAUGCAGAAGCAUGAGUGCACAAAAUUGUCGCUACACUCUAUGAUAGAUUUUAUUUUGAUAAAAAUAUUAUUUCUCUAUUUUUCAUGAACACAAAAAUACAAAACUAAAUCAUUUUCCACCUAUUUCAAAAGUUUUAAAAUUUUGGGUGUUACAAUAACCACAGGUAGUAGUAACUUUCAUGGUACCUAUAUGCUGCAAGGGACCUGGGCUCGCUUUGCAAUAAACAAGGACAGUCCUUGCUGGAAGACUGCUGCAGCAGUACAAAUAUUCAACUACUACAAAUGUAUUGUAUAAGUAGAUACAGGUAAAGAAAUCUACGAAAUAACACUAGACAACAGAGCAGAGAGAGACAGCGAACGUUGGUCUCAUCAAUCUGGCCGAUGGAUAAGGCCUAAUCGAGUGUUGGUGGCACGAUGGGUCGACUCUCUACAGGAGCGAAUUCAAGACAGAAUUACAAAUAAUCUCACGUUAGUCAUUUUCAUAGGUUAUGGUGCCAUUAUAUGUGUGGGUCAGUGGUUUUAUGCAAUUGAGUGUCUAAUUUUUUUAAUGAAUAACAACAAGAACGAGGCAAUCAAGAUGUCCAUAUAGAGGAGGAACAACACACGACAAAACCCUUAUUUGACGCGUGUGCAUCGGCAUCUAUUAGCAACUCACAAACACGUGUCAAGAGGUGAGUUGUGAAAUAACCUCCUAGUCAUUGUCGAUGCCAUGGAAUUGACAGAACCGGCAGCGGCUGUGUAUGGAGACUAGUAUUCGUGUUUAGACUCCAAUGUCCUCCGGGCUUAGAAGGUUGUCUAGGGGAUGGCUGCCAACGGUGGUAGAGUUGUGGAUGACAAGGCAAUUUGGUGCCACCGUACGUUGACCGGGCAAUGGAGAACAACCAGUGGGCGGGGUUGACAACAGGGGUGAUCGAGCGCAAGAUUAGGUCAAUUUUAGGCGGAAAUUUCACGUGCAUUUAAUAGACUGUCACAUACUAAAUUUUAUGACAUGCUGAUAGCAAGAGCGCAGGGAAGGAAGAAAACUUGGGGAGGAAGAAGAACAGUAGGGGAGGAAUCUCAUAUGAGUGCUGGUAAAAGUUUAGAGUUUACAAAUUUCAUGUUCCCCUCUUUCUCUCUCACUCGUUACAUAUAAGCCACG